rnacentral:lncRNA from 1 species
AGAAUACUUUCAAUUAAAAAUCUGUAGUUUCUAUAGUCCUCUUUUUCCUAUAUUUUAGCUGUAUUAAUUAUGUUUACUAAAUUGUUAUUGAAUCUUUUUUUUUUUUUGAGAUAGAGUCUCGCUUUGAUGCCCAGGAUGGAAUGAAGUGGUGUGAUCUCAGCUCACUGCAACCUCACCUCCCAGGUUCAAGCAAUUCUCCUGCCUCAGUCUCCUGAGUAGCGGAGACCACAGGCAUGUACCACAAUGUCUGGCUAAUUUUUUUGUAUUUUUAGUAGAGAUGGGAUUUCACUAUGUUGGCCAGGCUGGUCCCGAACUCCUGGCCUUAAGUGAUCCGCCCACCUCGGCCUCUCAAAGUGCUGGGAUUACAGGUGUGAGUCACCACACCCAGCCUAUAUGAGUGUUGAAUCGAAUAGUAAAUGCGUGUGGAUAGUGUAGGAGGGUGUGCUAAUGAAAGAACAAUAAUGGUGAUGUUUGUGGUAACAGAACUUUCCUGUAUCUUAACUGUGGUGAAAAAAAUGAACCUACACAUGUGAUAAAUUUACACUGAACUGAAUACAACACACACAUACAAACACAAGUACAUGUAAGUUUGAUGUAAUCUGAAAAAGCUUGACAGACAGUAUCAAUGUAAAUUUCCUGGUUUUGAUUUCAUACUCUACUAUACUAUUACCAGAUGUUACCACUGAGUGAAGGGUAACCUCUAAAUUGUUUCUCUAGUUGUAUGUAAAUCUACUACAACUAGAUUUAUGUAUGUAAAUAACUUUGUUUAAAAGUCAUUUAAAUCUCAAAAUAAGUCAUUUUAAACAAUAGUUUAAGGAUGAAAGCAAUUCAGGAAACUACCACAAGGGGAGAGGUUUGGGAGGUGGUAGAAUCAGUGGUGAUGAACAGGAAUGUAAUCAUAGCCACAGAUUCCCAUUGUGCCACCUACUUCUAGCAAAGACUCCUUGUAAUUCAGCAAGAGCAUGAGAACCCAGUCUAGAGCUGUUAGAAAUUGUGGAAAAACAUUCUCUUUCUGGACAAACUCUUCCGGUUAAAAGUAAUUUACAUGUUAAAAAUAACACAACCAUUGCAAAUCAGAGCAUUAGUAUUAAAAAUGUUCUAGCCAGUUUAUUUUUUAUAAGCCUCUGUAAGUUGUAGAAUACUUGAUUCGUAUUGUUACUUGUCUGAUUUGAUGUAUCUUAUGCUCAAGCAACCUCUUACUUUCUUGAUGAGAGAAGUGCCUUUGAUAAAUUCUAUUUGUAACAUCUCUAACAAGGCCCUUAAAGUUUUAUUGAUCAAUUAAAGAAUGCCUUAUUUCUAGUAGUAAGAAAAUAUUUUGUUAAAAUUAUGCCAUAAAAUAAAAGUGCUCUUACAUGUAAAAGCAUUAUAAGAGUGAAUCAAAAUGAAUUUCCUAUCUUUCAUUGCAAAUAACAGUUUACCACUUCAAUUAGAACUACCAAUUUAACUUAUGGUGCACAAAAUUAUGUAAUAAAUUUAAUGACUGAAACAGUUCACAUGCACAGAAAAGAAAAAGUUGUCUUGAACCUUGGCUUAAAUGAAAAAGGCCAUAUAACAAGAUAAUAAUUUUAGGAUUGGAUAAGUCACAAUAUGG